GGGUUGUGAGGUUAAGCGACUAAGCGUACACGGUGGAUGCCCUGGCAGUCAGAGGCGAUGAAGGACGUGCUAAUCUGCGAUAAGCGUCGGUAAGGUGAUAUGAACCGUUAUAACCGGCGAUUUCCGAAUGGGGAAACCCAGUGUGAUUCGUCACACUAUCAUUAACUGAAUCCAUAGGUUAAUGAGGCGAACCGGGGGAACUGAAACAUCUAAGUACCCCGAGGAAAAGAAAUCAACCGAGAUUCCCCCAGUAGCGGCGAGCGAACGGGGAGCAGCCCAGAGCCUGAAUCAGUGUGUGUGUUAGUGGAAGCGUCUGGAAAGGCGCGCGAUACAGGGUGACAGCCCCGUACACAAAAAUGCACAUGCUGUGAGCUCGAUGAGUAGGGCGGGACACGUGGUAUCCUGUCUGAAUAUGGGGGGACCAUCCUCCAAGGCUAAAUACUCCUGACUGACCGAUAGUGAACCAGUACCGUGAGGGAAAGGCGAAAAGAACCCCGGCGAGGGGAGUGAAAAAGAACCUGAAACCGUGUACGUACAAGCAGUGGGAGCACGCUUCGGCGUGUGACUGCGUACCUUUUGUAUAAUGGGUCAGCGACUUAUAUUCUGUAGCAAGGUUAACCGAAUAGGGGAGCCGAAGGGAAACCGAGUCUUAACUGGGCGUUAAGUUGCAGGGUAUAGACCCGAAACCCGGUGAUCUAGCCAUGGGCAGGUUGAAGGUUGGGUAACACUAACUGGAGGACCGAACCGACUAAUGUUGAAAAAUUAGCGGAUGACUUGUGGCUGGGGGUGAAAGGCCAAUCAAACCGGGAGAUAGCUGGUUCUCCCCGAAAGCUAUUUAGGUAGCGCCUCGUGAAUUCAUCUCCGGGGGUAGAGCACUGUUUCGGCAAGGGGGUCAUCCCGACUUACCAACCCGAUGCAAACUGCGAAUACCGGAGAAUGUUAUCACGGGAGACACACGGCGGGUGCUAACGUCCGUCGUGAAGAGGGAAACAACCCAGACCGCCAGCUAAGGUCCCAAAGUCAUGGUUAAGUGGGAAACGAUGUGGGAAGGCCCAGACAGCCAGGAUGUUGGCUUAGAAGCAGCCAUCAUUUAAAGAAAGCGUAAUAGCUCACUGGUCGAGUCGGCCUGCGCGGAAGAUGUAACGGGGCUAAACCAUGCACCGAAGCUGCGGCAGCGACACUAUGUGUUGUUGGGUAGGGGAGCGUUCUGUAAGCCUGUGAAGGUGUACUGUGAGGUAUGCUGGAGGUAUCAGAAGUGCGAAUGCUGACAUAAGUAACGAUAAAGCGGGUGAAAAGCCCGCUCGCCGGAAGACCAAGGGUUCCUGUCCAACGUUAAUCGGGGCAGGGUGAGUCGACCCCUAAGGCGAGGCCGAAAGGCGUAGUCGAUGGGAAACAGGUUAAUAUUCCUGUACUUGGUGUUACUGCGAAGGGGGGACGGAGAAGGCUAUGUUGGCCGGGCGACGGUUGUCCCGGUUUAAGCGUGUAGGCUGGUUUUCCAGGCAAAUCCGGAAAAUCAAGGCUGAGGCGUGAUGACGAGGCACUACGGUGCUGAAGCAACAAAUGCCCUGCUUCCAGGAAAAGCCUCUAAGCAUCAGGUAACAUCAAAUCGUACCCCAAACCGACACAGGUGGUCAGGUAGAGAAUACCAAGGCGCUUGAGAGAACUCGGGUGAAGGAACUAGGCAAAAUGGUGCCGUAACUUCGGGAGAAGGCACGCUGAUAUGUAGGUGAAGCGACUUGCUCGUGGAGCUGAAAUCAGUCGAAGAUACCAGCUGGCUGCAACUGUUUAUUAAAAACACAGCACUGUGCAAACACGAAAGUGGACGUAUACGGUGUGACGCCUGCCCGGUGCCGGAAGGUUAAUUGAUGGGGUUAGCGGUAACGCGAAGCUCUUGAUCGAAGCCCCGGUAAACGGCGGCCGUAACUAUAACGGUCCUAAGGUAGCGAAAUUCCUUGUCGGGUAAGUUCCGACCUGCACGAAUGGCGUAAUGAUGGCCAGGCUGUCUCCACCCGAGACUCAGUGAAAUUGAACUCGCUGUGAAGAUGCAGUGUACCCGCGGCAAGACGGAAAGACCCCGUGAACCUUUACUAUAGCUUGACACUGAACAUUGAGCCUUGAUGUGUAGGAUAGGUGGGAGGCUUUGAAGUGUGGACGCCAGUCUGCAUGGAGCCGACCUUGAAAUACCACCCUUUAAUGUUUGAUGUUCUAACGUUGACCCGUGAUCCGGGUUGCGGACAGUGUCUGGUGGGUAGUUUGACUGGGGCGGUCUCCUCCUAAAGAGUAACGGAGGAGCACGAAGGUUGGCUAAUCCUGGUCGGACAUCAGGAGGUUAGUGCAAUGGCAUAAGCCAGCUUGACUGCGAGCGUGACGGCGCGAGCAGGUGCGAAAGCAGGUCAUAGUGAUCCGGUGGUUCUGAAUGGAAGGGCCAUCGCUCAACGGAUAAAAGGUACUCCGGGGAUAACAGGCUGAUACCGCCCAAGAGUUCAUAUCGACGGCGGUGUUUGGCACCUCGAUGUCGGCUCAUCACAUCCUGGGGCUGAAGUAGGUCCCAAGGGUAUGGCUGUUCGCCAUUUAAAGUGGUACGCGAGCUGGGUUUAGAACGUCGUGAGACAGUUCGGUCCCUAUCUGCCGUGGGCGCUGGAGAACUGAGGGGGGCUGCUCCUAGUACGAGAGGACCGGAGUGGACGCAUCACUGGUGUUCGGGUUGUCAUGCCAAUGGCACUGCCCGGUAGCUAAAUGCGGAAGAGAUAAGUGCUGAAAGCAUCUAAGCACGAAACUUGCCCCGAGAUGAGUUCUCCCUGACUCCUUGAGAGUCCUGAAGGAACGUUGAAGACGACGACGUUGAUAGGCCGGGUGUGUAAGCGCAGCGAUGCGUUGAGCUAACCGGUACUAAUGAACCGUGAGGCUUAACCUUACAACGCCGAAG
rnacentral:rRNA from 1 species